rnacentral:ribozyme from 14 species
GCACAUUUCUUUAAAAAAAAAAAUAUAAAAAAAUUGUGAGAUACGCUUUUAUUACAUUUAUUAGUCAUUUUAAAGAAAUGUGUAGAUGUCCAUAAAUAUAGAUGGAG